rnacentral:rRNA from 1 species
GAAUUACUGGGCGUAAAGAGCUCGUAGGUGGUUUGUCGCGUUGUUCGUGAAAUCUCACGGCUUAACUGUGAGCGUGCGGGCGAUACGGGCAGACUAGAGUACUGCAGGGGAGACUGGAAUUCCUGGUGUAGCGGUGGAAUGCGCAGAUAUCAGGAGGAACACCGGUGGCGAAGGCGGGUCUCUGGGCAGUAACUGACGCUGAGGAGCGAAAGCGUGGGGAGCGAACAGGAUUAGAUACCCUGGUAGUCCACGCCGUAAACGGUGGGUACUAGGUGUGGGUUUCCUUCCUUGGGAUCCGUGCCGUAGCUAACGCAUUAAGUACCCCGCCUGGGGAGUACGGCCGCAAGGCUAAAACUCAAAGGAAUUGACGGGGGCCCGCACAAGCGGCGGAGCAUGUGGAUUAAUUCGAUGCAACGCGAAGAACCUUACCUGGGUUUGACAUGCACAGGACGCGUCUAGAGAUAGGCGUUCCCUUGUGGCCUGUGUGCAGGUGGUGCAUGGCUGUCGUCAGCUCGUGUCGUGAGGUGUUGGGUUAAGUCCCGCAACGAGCGCAACCCUUGUCUCAUGUUGCCAGCGGGUAAUGCCGGGGACUCGUGAGAGACUGCCGGGGUCAACUCGGAGGAAGGUGGGGAUGACGUCAAGUCAUCAUGCCCCUUAUGUCCAGGGCUUCACACAUGCUACAAUGGCCGGUACAAAGGGCUGCGAUGCCGUAAGGUUAAGCGAAUCCUUUUAAAGCCGGUCUCAGUUCGGAUUGGGGUCUGCAACUCGACCCCAUGAAGUCGGAGUCGCUAGUAAUCGCAGAUCAGCAACGC